UACGGAGGAUGCAAGCGUUAUCCGGAAUGAUUGGGCGUAAAGCGUCCGCAGGUGGCAAUGUAAGUCUGCUGUCAAAGCGUCUGGCUCAACCAGAUAAAGGCAGUGGAAACUACAUAGCUAGAGUAAGGUAGGGGUAGAGGGAAUUCCUGGUGUAGCGGUGAAAUGCGUAGAGAUCAGGAAGAACACCGGUGGCGAAGGCGCUCUACUGGGCCGUAACUGACACUGAGGGACGAAAGCUAGGGGAGCGAAAGGG
rnacentral:rRNA from 1 species